rnacentral:rRNA from 1 species
CGCGUAGGCGGCCUUCUAAGUCAGACGUGAAAUCCCCAGGCUUAAUUUGGGAACUGCGUCUGAUACUGGGAGGCUUGAGUGCGGGAGAGGGAUGUGGAAUUCCAGGUGUAGCGGUGAAAUGCGUAGAUAUCUGGAGGAACACCGGUGGCGAAGGCGGCAUCCCGGACCGACACUGACGCUGAGGCGCGAAAGCCAGGGAGCAAACG